AGGACGAACGCUGGCGGCGUGCCUAACACAUGCAAGUGGAGCGACGAACCAGGCUUCGGCCUGGGGCAGAGCCGCGAACGGGUGAGUAACACGUGGGUAACCUGCCCUGAUGAUUGGGACAACCCGAGGAAACUCGGGCUAAUACCAAAUGUGCCCUCCGGCCUCAAGGCCUGUGGGGAAAGGAAGCUUCGGCCUCCGCAUCGGGAUGGGCCCGCGGCCCAUUAGCUUGUUGGUGAGGUAAUGGCUCACCAAGGCUACGAUGGGUAGCUGGUCUGAGAGGACGAUCAGCCACACUGGGACUGAGACACGGCCCAGACUCCUACGGGAGGCAGCAGUGGGGAAUCUUGCGCAAUGCGCGAAAGCGUGACGCAGCAACGCCGCGUGGGGGAAGAAGGCCUUCGGGUUGUAAACCCUUUCAGUUGGGACGAAGCUUCGCCGGUGAACAGCCGGCUGGAGUGACGGUACCUUCAGAAGAAGCCCGGCUAACUACGUGCCAGCAGCCG
rnacentral:rRNA from 1 species